CCCUUAGAUGUCCUGGGCUGCACGCGCGCUACACUGAUGUGUUCAAUAAGCACCUAACCUACUCCGAAGGGACUGGGUAACCUUUGCAAAGCACAUCGUGAUGGGGAUAGAUUAUUGCAAUUAUUAGUCUUGAACGAGGAAUUCCUAGUAAGCGCAAGUCAUCAGCUUGUGUUGAUUACGUCCCUGCCCUUUGUACACACCGCCCGUCGCUCCUACCGAUUGAAUGUUCCGGUGAGCUCUUCGGACUGCGCGGUCUGCAGUUUCUGCGUUCCGUGCGGAAAGUUGCGCAAACCUUAACAUUUAGAGGAAGGAGAAGUCGUAACA
rnacentral:rRNA from 1 species